AUUCGGCUGACGAGCCCCAAAUAGGACGAAACGUGCAUCCUGGAU
rfam:Schistosoma rodhaini strain Burundi genome assembly, scaffold: SROB_scaffold0007777